CCUGCAUAAAAAUUACAAAAUGGAGGAUAAUUCAGAAGCUUUCUUGGGGUAUUUACAAGAAUUGGAAAGUACAACAGCUCCUUUGCUCAGCAAUCAUAUAGCUUCAACUCUUCUGGUAUUCACUUUUCUAUUGUCUUUCCCUAAAAUUUUUCUUAUUCAAAUGCUCUUUUUGUAUCUUUCUUGUUUUCUUCUCCUUCGCUGGCAACGACGUAACAAAAUAAGAAGGGCUUGUUCAGAAUCGCUGCUUUUUGUAACGCGAAAAUACGCGAAAUAGUAAUUUCAGAGACUGGAACAACCUCCAUUUUUUCCUUUUCCGAUCAUUCCAGUUAUCCUUUUAUUGGAUCGGAUCGGAAAGGUCCGGAAAAGCCUCAGAGUCCGAUCUACUGCUUAUUUUCCGGAGUGGAAAUUAGUCCCUGCCUUCCUGCCUUCUCUCCCUGCCUUCCUGUUUGGCAAAUCACGUUGUUAGAAAUACGUAACUAAUCUUACCUAUUGGAUAAAAAUCAUUGUAAAGCUCAUCGCGAUGUCUUUCAGACAUCAAUCGACGACCUUGGUAAAAUACUUGUAUUGGAAAUUCAGCGUAGUGGUGUAGAACUGAAAUGACAAAAAGGAGGGCUAUGAAAAGGGGGCGGGGUGACAAAAUAUGAAGGUAAGAAGGCAUGGAGGGUGCAACAUAUUAUUAUUAGAUAGAUUUAGAAAACACGACGCGACGUCUAAAAUGACGUGAAAAUGACGUAUGCACCUCGCUUUCACUUCGGGGUUAAAUCUGGCCAUAAAGUGCUAUAUAGAAGGGUUUCUGAAACACCGGCAACGUGAUCAAUAGUUAUACCAGCGCCAAAAAAAUCACCGCUAUUUUUAAAGUCUGAAUGCAAAUCCGAGUACUGAACUUCAUCCGACUGCAUAAGAUACUCUUAGCAGACAUAUCGUGAAAAUUGCGAAGAAAACUUGCUGUUAAAAAUCAUUCAGGGAUAGGUUUAUCUAUGUUAUUUGUUUACUAGAUAACUUUGUUCAUCUAAGAGAAUGCUAAUAUUGUAUGCUAAAAAUCAAAUUAUGUCGAAACGGUUAAAUUAGAACCAUUUUCAAAAUCACGUGACCGGUGUUUCAAUCCUUCUAUUAUUACUUUAUCUAUUAUUAAUUACGCUAUUACCUCGCGCCCGCAACCUCCUCCGCAGGCCAUACAGCCCGUAAUGAAUAUGCCCGUUCGCAGGUCGAAGCUGCUGUAUGGCCUGCUGAAUUCAGUGAAUUGACAUGUCGAUUACUUGGCUUAUAGUGUCGAUUACUCGGUUGGGUCAAAUUUCUUCAUAAAUAUUGCACAUCGUCUGCCAAUCUUUAGCAAUCCUGUUUUGCGAGUAUUUCUAAAUACAUCUUAGCAGUUAUGGCUGGUAAAAGCGACGAGGAGAAUCAAAUAAUGGAGGGUUUUACAAGCACAAGCGACAGUGAUAAUAAACGUUGUGAAUCUGUCAUUUGGCCAAAUGAGGCCAAAUGGGAUGUUUUGACUAUAUACACACUCAUUAAAAU